AACGCUAGCUACAGGCUUAACACAUGCAAGUCGAGGGGAAACGAUAUUGGAAGCUUGCUUCCGAUAGGCGUCGACCGGCGCACGGGUGAGUAACGCGUAUCCAACCUGCCCACCACUUGGGGAUAACCUUGCGAAAGUAAGACUAAUACCCAAUGAUAUCUCUAGAAGGCAUCUGAAAGAGAUUAAAGAUUUAUCGGUGAUGGAUGGGGAUGCGUCUGAUUAGCUUGUUGGCGGGGUAACGGCCCACCAAGGCAACGAUCAGUAGGGGUUCUGAGAGGAAGGUCCCCCACAUUGGAACUGAGACACGGUCCAAACUCCUACGGGAGGCAGCAGUGAGGAAUAUUGGUCAAUGGACGAGAGUCUGAACCAGCCAAGUAGCGUGCAGGAAGACGGCCCUAUGGGUUGUAAACUGCUUUUAUAAGGGAGUAAAGUGAGAGUCGUGACUCUUUUUGCAUGUACCUUAUGAAUAAGGACCGGCUAAUUCCGUGCCAGCAGCCGCGGUAAUACGGAAGGUCCGGGCGUUAUCCGGAUUUAUUGGGUUUAAAGGGAGCGUAGGCCGGAGAUUAAGCGUGUUGUGAAAUGUAGACGCUCAACGUCUGCACUGCAGCGCGAACUGGUUUCCUUGAGUACGCACAAAGUGGGCGGAAUUCGUGGUGUAGCGGUGAAAUGCUUAGAUAUCACGAAGAACUCCGAUUG
rnacentral:rRNA from 1 species